AACCCACGAACCAUAAGAUCAUGACCUGAGCUGAAGUCAAGACACUUAACGGACUGAGCCACCCAGGCGCCCCAGCCCAUUUAAUAACUUUACAGUGGCUUCUAAGGGUUCCAAUGCAAGAUCAGACUGGAUCAUGAAUGACACUAAAAGACAUCCGUUUGUAUGUAGAUGUUCAGUGAAUGGAAGAGGAAGUGAGCAGGAGGGAGAAAGAUGAAGCAAAGUGCCUUCAGCAAGAAGAGAGAACAGUAACAUUCACCUCAUGCUUGGAAGUACCAGAUUCUAGGAAGAAAGGAAUACAUUGUGGGUGAAAAGGGGGGUGCUGGUGGUUCUUUGAAACCCUUUAAAGAAGACGCAAACACCAGGUUCCCUCCCCAAACUCAAAUAGAAAAUGGGAGAUUAUAUUUUGGGUAAAGGGAAUUAGUGAGCCUCAGACCCGGGGCUGCCAGGGUGGGGUGCAGAAAGCACAAAUGAGGACAGGAUAAAAUGUCACACUGAAAACAGAAGGAUUCAGCAGAAGUCUGUGCAGUGAUGGGACACUGGGCGUCAUUUCCACAUCAAGCUCCAGAAGAGCAGCCAUCAAGGGGUGUAUCUACCUCCUCCCCGGCAGGAGGAGAACGGAUGACCCUUCUGGGGAGAAACUAAAACACCCCAAAGAAAAUACCAACAGGUACUAACAUUUGGGAUUUUCUACCAAAAAGCUAACCAUCUACCCAAAUGCCCUCCCAUGAAGCCCAGAACAACCCCAAUCUGCUUUAUGCUGAGUCGGUUUUUAAUAUAAACACUAAAGGUACCACAGGCAUUUGAAGAAAGCCUGCAGGUGAGUAAGAGAAGACAGUGCUUCCUUAAAGUAGCAGCAUGCUAUAAAAAA